rnacentral:lncRNA from 1 species
GAUGAAGUUCUCCUCAAGAUUGACAUGGACUCAAAUGAUGCUGCUCAAAUUCCAUGGAUUCUAGGGUUAGGGUUUGGGAGAAAAGAUCUUAGAGCAAGAGAGAUGAGAGAGAAGGAGAAAAUGGAUCACGAGGAGAGGUUAGGCCAUGCUAAACAUAACCUGAUCUAUUUAUUUAACAAAUCAUGCAUGUUGGAUUAGAUUUCCCA